CUGUGUUGCUCUACUAUUCCAACAAUGGGCUACUCAGGCAGUUGAUCUGGUGAAGCUCAGGAAUUUCUGGAGUUGGAGAGUGAAAAACAGGAAAUGGUGCAAGGCACCUUGGCUAAUCUUUCUGAAGGCACACCCUCCUUUCCCCAUCCAUUCAUUCCCUUGUCCCAUUUCUUCCCAGACUCAACACUCAACUUCUGCAAGAGAUGGCAAUUGGAGCUCGUGAGGCUUUCCCAGAUCUCACGGGUAGGAGAGUUUGACUUUGCCACCCUAAACCGUGCUCGACAUUUAUUUUGAACUGAGUUCUACAAAUCAAGACGCCGGCUUUGACUCCAAGUCGGUGCACGUCUGGUUCCUGCAGAUGUCAUAAGCGGAUACUGGAUUCCCCCCUGGAACUGAAGUAACGGAUGAUUGCGAAUCACCAGGUGGAUGUCUGGAACUGAACCUGGGUCUUCUGCCAGAGUAACAAGUGUACUUAAGAUCUGAGCCGUCUCGUCUCUAAGGCCCACGAUCAUUGUUCUUCAAAGCUCCUGUUAUCAACAGAACAAAAAAAAAAAUAAGUCUUUCUGUCACUCUGACCCCUGUCUCAUUUUGUCUCAGAGGUAACCAGUUGUAGGUUAUAUUCUUUCAGACAUUUAAUAAUCCACUUAUGAAUGCGUAUUCAUGUCUACCAUGCUUAAUUUUGAUGAUCCCAAUUUUAAUUAUCUAAAAAAAAACCAUGCACACCACACUGUGUAUUGUUUUGUGAUUUGUUUUUUAUUUAUAUGUGUUAGUGAUUUUUCUAUGUCUGCCACACAUACUUCUCAAAAUUUAUUAUAAAAUAUGUGCAACUCAGAGUAUACAUUCCUUAUGGAACUAUUACAUUACGGGUUGACAUUUAGGGUUAUUUUCCAUAUUUUCCAGUCCUGCUGAUGGGACUUGGAGUCUAACACACAAACACUGUACAGGGAGUUAAAUACCAAGCCACACCAACUCAUUUCUCUUAAUUGAAGCCCAGGUUGGCCUAAACUCAUGAUCCCACUGCUACAACUUCCAGAACUCUGGGAUUACAUGUCUGUGACAUCAUGGCUGGCUUUCUAACUUGUAAUGAUAAAAAUAUUCCAAGCAAUUUUUUUGAGACAAGGUUUUACUGUGUAGCCCUGACUGGCCUGGAACUGGCUGUGUAGACCAGAUUGCCCUUAAGAAAUCUACCUAAGAGCUGAGA